AUUGAACGCUGGCGGCAGGCCUAACACAUGCAAGUCGAACGAGUGGCGGACGGGUGAGUAAUGUCUGGGAAACUGCCUGAUGGCGGGGGAUAACUACUGGAAACGGUAGCUAAUACCGCAUACCAUCAGAUGUGCCCAGAUGGGAUUAGCUAGUUGGGGGGGUAACGGCGCACAAAGGCGACGAUCCCUAGCUGGUCUGAGAGGAUGACCAGCAACACUGGAACUGAGACACGGUCCAGACUCCUACGGGAGGCAGCAGUGGGGAAUAUUGGACAAUGGGCGCAAGCCUGAUUCAGCCAUGCCGCGUGUGUGAAGAAGGUCUUCGGGUUGUAAAGUACUUUCAGUGGGGAGGCGUUACCCACAGAAUAAGCACCGGCUAACUCCGUGCCAGCAGCCGCGGUAAUAC
rnacentral:rRNA from 1 species